GACGAACGCUGGCGGCGUGCUUAACACAUGCAAGUCGAACGGAAAGGCCCUGCUUUUGUGGGGUGCUCGAGUGGCGAACGUGUGUGUAACACGUGAGUAACCUGCCCUUUACUUUGUGAUAACUUCUGGAAACUGGGGCUAAUACCGGAUAGGAGCUCCUGCUGCAUGGUGUGGGUUGGAAAGUUUCGGCGGUUGGGGAUGGACUCGCGGCUUAUCAGCUUGUUUGUGGGGUAGUGGCUUACCAUGGCUUUGACGGGUAGCCGGCAUGAGAGGGUGACCGGGAACAUUGGGAAUGAGAAAGGGCACAGAGGGCAACGGGAGGCAGCAGUGGGGAAUAUUGAAAAAUGGGCGGAAGCAUGAUGAAGGAAGGCCGGGUGGGGGAUGACGGCCUGCGGGUUGUAAACCGAUUUAGAAUGUGAAGAAGAGUGAGUGACGGUAAUGGGUAAAGAAGCACCGGCUAACUACGUG
rnacentral:rRNA from 1 species